GGUGCAAGUGAUGCUUUAAAGCGAUCAAAGUAUGACCAUUGUGAUUCCAUUUUUUUAUACGACUGAUGCACC